rnacentral:rRNA from 1 species
AGUGGGGAAUAUUUGCACCAAUGGGCGCAAGCCUGAUGCAGCGACGCGCGUGAGGGAUGAAGGCUUUCGGGUGUAAACUCUUCAGUAGGAAGAGCGGCCUUUUGGUGGUGACGUACCUGCAGAAGAGCGCGGGCUAACUACGUGCCAGCAGCCGCGGUAAUACGUAGGGCGCAAGCGUAUCCGGAAUUAUUGGGCGUAAAGAGCUCGUAGGCGGUUUGUCGCGUCUGCCGUGAAAGUCCGGGGCUUAACCCCGGAUCUGCGGUGGGUACGGGCAGACUAGAGUGCAGUAGGGGAGACUGGAAAUCCUGGUGUAGCGGUGAAAUGCGCAGAUAUCAGGAGGAACACCGAUGGCGAAGGCAGGUCUCUGGGCUGUAACUGACGCUGAGGAGCGAAAGCAUGGGGAGCGAACAGGAUUAGAUACCCUGGUAGUCCAUGCCGUAAACGUUGGGCACUAGGUGUGGGGGACAUUCCACGUUUUCCGCGCCGUAGCUAACGCAUUAAGUGCCCCGCCUGGGGAGUACGGCCGCAAGGCUAAAACUCAAAGGAAUUGACGGGGGCCCGCACAAGCGGCGGAGCAUGCGGAUUAAUUCGAUGCAACGCGAAGAACCUUACCAAGGCUUGACAUGAACCGGAAUGAUGCAGAGAUGUGUCAGCCACUUGUGGCCGGUUUACAGGUGGUGCAUGGUUGUCGUCAGCUCGUGUCGUGAGAUGUUGGGUUAAGUCCCGCAACGAGCGCAACCCUCGUUCCAUGUUGCCAGCGGGUUAUGCCGGGGACUCAUGGGAGACUGCCGGGGUCAACUCGGAGGAAGGUGGGGACGACGUCAAAUCAUCAUGCCCCUUAUGUCUUGGGCUUCACGCAUGCUACAAUGGCCGGUACAAAGGGUUGCGAUACUGUGAGGUGGAGCUAAUCCCAAAAAGCCGGUCUCAGUUCGGAUUGAGGUCUGCAACUCGACCUCAUGAAGUUGGAGUCGCUAGUAAUCGCAGAUCAGCAACGCCGCGGUGAAUACGUUCCCGGG